UCUAGAAAAUUAGAGUUAGAGAAGAGGAAC
rnacentral:piRNA from 1 species